rnacentral:rRNA from 1 species
UACGUAGGGGGCAAGCGUUGUCCGGAAUCAUUGGGCGUAAAGCGCGCGUAGGCGGCCCGGUAAGUCCGCUCUGAAAGUCCAGGGCUCAACACUGGAAAGCGGGUGGAUACUGCCGGGCUAGAAUCCGGAAGAGGCGAGUGGAAUUCCUGGUGUAGCGGUGGAAUGCGCAGAUAUCAGGAGGAACACCAAUAGCGAAGGCAGCUCGCUGGGACGGUAUUGACGCUAAGGCGCGAAAGCGUGGGGAGCAAACAGG